rnacentral:tRNA from 1 species
GCAGAUGUAGUUCAGCGGUAGAAUACAACCUUGCCAAGGUUGGGGUCGCGGGUUCGAAUCCCGUCUUCUGCUCCA